rnacentral:lncRNA from 1 species
UGUGAUCUAGGCUCACUGCAGCCUCCGCUUCCUGGAUUCAUUGUAAUAUGUUUGGUUCUUUAUCAUUACUAAGGUAUAUGGUCCUGGGUACUGCUUUAAACAAAGCAAAUCAGGGGAACUUUCUUUUUUCUUUUCUUUUCCUUUUCUUUCUUUAGACGGAGUCUCACUCUGACACCCAGGCUGGAGUGCAGUGGUGCAAUCUCAGCUUAUUGCAACCUUCGCCUCCAGAGUUCAAGCGAUUCUCCUGCCUCAGCCUCCCAAGUAGUUGGGAUUACAGAUAUGCAUUUUUGAGACAAGAGGCUGUAGCUGGCCUUGGAAGAAGAAAAAUGAGAACAGGUUCUGGAAAGGGGAAAAGGACCAAACAAUCCUUCCAUCACAGGAGGGAGAGAUAGCACUGAACAGGAAACAGAUGGGGACAUUGAAAUUCAAGAGGCUAAGAAACCUGACCCACACCCUGCAGCCUGAGAGAGGAGCAGAGCUGAAAUUGGAACCCAGCUCCAUGGCACUCCAGAGUGGGAUCAUGCAGCCACUCGAGGGCUGAGCUAGCACUUCCAUUGACCCAUGAAUUGAGGAACUGAACCCUGGAGAGUGGAAUAGAACGUGUUACCCUGAGACCCUCUCCUCCCCUGCCUCAUUCUUGUCUUUAAAGCCCUGCUCAGUCAGCUUGAGAGACCCAGUGUCCUGGACCCUUGCUAUGCAAAGAGG